rnacentral:lncRNA from 1 species
GGAUAAAUUAAAAAAUAGCAACUCUGUGACACAAAUCCUGAAUAGUGAGUUUGAAAUUUAUUAAAGGAUACAUGUUUUAAAAUAGUCAUAGGUGAAGCUUCUCAAAGACUGGAAAGCUAUCCUUAGGCAGAUCUACUUAAUGAUAAAAAUAAUUAUUGGCCAGGAGCUGUGACUCACGCCUGCACUCCCAGCACUUUGGGAGGCUGAGGUGGGAGGAUCACUGAGUCCAGAAGUUCAAGACCAGCCUGGGUAACAUAGUGAGACCCCCAUCUCUACCAGGAAAAAAAAAAAAAAAAAAAAGCCAGGUGUGGUGGUGCAUGCCUGUGGUCCCAGCUAUUUGGGAGGCUGAAGUGUGUGGAUUGCUUGAGCCUGGGAAGUCAAGGCUGCAGAGAGCCCUGAUAAUGCCACUGUAUUCCAGCCUGAGCUACAGAGCUGGACCCUGUCUCAAAGAAAAGUUAUUAUUAUUAUUUUAGCUAACAUAUAUGAGAAUAUUCUAUGUACCAGGCAUUAUCCUGAGCAUUUUGCAUGCUUUAUCUCAACUAAUCUUUACAUAACACUAUGAAGCACGCGUAACUAUUUAUGCCCAGGUUGCUGAUGAGGAAACUAAAGUCUUUGUAUCCAGUUCAGCUGGAUCAAAACCCAGUGCUUUCUGCCUUCCAAUCAGGAGGUUUUUCCUUGGGCUGUAGAGCUUGACUUUCCAGGCAAUGCACAGGCAGGGAUGUGUGCUCCAGGGGCCACUCCAGUUCUCAGACGAGCCACAGUUACAGUCAAGACACAGUUGGCAAGAUCGUGUAUAAUAGUGGACCAGAGGCGAUGGAAGGAGCUCAACAUUCUCACUUAAUCCCACUUCUCGCUUUCCUGUGUGGUUUGUGGGUGUGAGUGCUGAAAAAUGAGCUUCCUCUGCAGGAGGAGGAAGUGGCGGGGCUUGGAGCCAGAAUGACUCAUCAGAACUCCCUAAGGAAGUCAGGACAACAGCAGGAGACUGAGCUUUCAACAUCGGACAUUCAGGAUGAACGCGGCAUCUGGACUGGGGCCAGGCAUGAGUGGAUGGAGAGCAGGACCACCAGUCAUUUACACAGCUUGUCCAUUGGCAAGCGCUGCUGAGCCCAGGCAAAUCAUCCCUGGAUUGAGGGUGAGUAAUGACAAUUAGCCUAUCUAAGGUUAAGGAAGAAGCCUGUAGUACAAGGGAGAGGCAAGUAUAUCUGGCAGACUCAGAGGAAGAGCAGAACUUUGAAAAAUAAUCCACAGUAUCAUCCAGAGAAAAAAUGUUAUUCUCAAAGGAUUGCAUGAAGAAAAAAUAUAUUUCAAAAGGACCAGACCUCCUAGUGUCUGUCCUUACUUAGUUAUACUUGAAGAAAAAGAAAAUGCAGAUGGCCUUGCCUCCGUUGUGUCCACUUAAGUGCCAUUUAUGUCCCUUUUAGUGUCACUGCUGGGGGGCAAGUUGAAGUGUUUGUUUCCAGCUUCUUGGCCUCCAAGAUUUUCUCUGUUUCUGGGUAUCAAUAUGAUUUUUAAUUUCUCUUAUUAAUUAUAAUGAUAAAGUAAAUAUGGUCCAGGCUUGGCAGUGUGUUAUAGCUGCCUUUGAUUUUAGAAAUAGAUUAUGUUUUUAUCUUU